GGGGGUGAUCGGUUUCGACAGUGUCUGUCGAGUGAGGAGAAGCGGGCCGAGGAAGGCAACGAUCAUCUCGUUAACGAUCCGUUGCAAAAAAAUCAAGCGCCGACAACAGUCAGCGCGAGUUCGCCCUCGCCGCCUGAGCGAGUAGCGACUCCGUCAGACCGAGCUCGCCUCCGGCUCGGAUCCUGGCGUCGAUCAGGAGGAUCACCAAAGGACCCGGUCACGGGGUCCGGCGGGACAUCUCACAGUGACUGGGCCUGUCACGAUGGCACGUUCGCAUGAUCAUCGGGGCCGAGUAGAGACCUAGCGGACUGCGCCCGGAGAAGUCCUCACAACACAACAUUGGACGCGGGUUCGAUUCCCGCCACCUCCACGA
rnacentral:tmRNA from 1 species